rnacentral:rRNA from 1 species
CAGUCGCCGCGGGAAUACAGAGGGUGCGAGCGUUAAUCGGAUUUACUGGGCGUAAAGCGUGCGUAGGCGGCUUUUUAAGUCGGAUGUGAAAUCCCCGAGCUUAACUUGGGAAUUGCAUUCGAUACUGGGAAGCUAGAGUAUGGGAGAGGAUGGUAGAAUUCCAGGUGUAGCGGUGAAAUGCGUAGAGAUCUGGAGGAAUACCGAUGGCGAAGGCAGCCAUCUGGCCUAAUACUGACGCUGAGGUACGAAAGCAUGGGGAGCAAACAGGAUUAGAUACCCGGGUAGUCCCUGUCUCUUAUAU